AAAGACAAAUUAAAAAAAUCAAGAAUGCUGUCAUUAGCCAGCUAAUGAGCUGAACUCCACUGCUAUGAGGCAAUGUCCCUGGGUGAUUAUUUUAAAAACCAGCCCCAGUACUUUCCCAAAAUGGUAACCACAGCAUUUAUCGUAGCAAACAGCUUAACCACUAAGUUUAUCACACCCUGCAUUUGGGUCCUACCCAUGUUGUCAUCUAUCUUAACUCUGUCUCAAGCCUUUCAAACACUGCACCUCUUUUGAGCAACAAUAAUCAGGAAAUCUUUUGGUUAGUUCUUUCUCUCCCUUUUUCUUUUUUAAAUGGAUGCUCAUUAAGAAACUUUUUUUUCCUUUGGAAGGGGCACAUUUUUAGUUUCUCAUCUUGCAGUACUGCAUAUUGAAUGCUGGGCUAGGACACUGGUAGACAAGGAUUCAAACCCACACUCAGCCAUGGAAAACCCACUGCAUGACCUGGUCAAAGAAAGCUGUUCGAAAGAACACGGUACCAAUGGAAAAGGCAUCUACUACAGCUCCUUAUCCUCCAUCCAAAAAGUUGUGAAAAAUACUUUCCCUCAGUCAGGAGAAGCAAACCAGGCAUCGCUUACAGGACACAGCAAAGUAAGAAGGGGAUGUGAAAGGUGAGAGAAUUUAUCAUCAAAAUCCACUGAGAGAACAGGGAACUGAUUUACUAUGAAGGUGCUGCCAAUGUCAAUAGAAUAUGUAUGACUGGUGGGGGUAUGGAAGCCCAGGUAUUUUUUCAUCCUUGCUGUUAAGAGUUUAGGGCAUCCAACUACUCCUUGCUGAAUACAUUUCUCAAGCUCUACUGACAAGGUGCUGAUCAAUUUAUCUGGAUAUGACAUGAAGGCCACGUGAAGAAAAUACAUUGUGACUAAGGCAGCUUUGCUGAUUUGCAAGAAAGUAAUUGAUGUGAUCCUAUAGGAACAAAAAAGGCAGCACUAGUGACAGUGUUAAUAUAUGAAUCUAGUAACUAGGAAAAUGGGAUCUCAAAUCAGAAAUGAAAAUAAUACCAUUUACAGUAUGCAUGUCUGGCUGGUUUCACACUGUGCUAUUAUGUCCAAAAGCAAAAAUAGAAAAGAAACAUAAGCAAGCAUUUAAAAGGUGGGCAGAAUUCUGAGGUGGGCAGAAUUAGACAACUAUGAAUUUAAAUUACUCAUGACAAGAUUUUAAACAAAACUAAACAAAAUUUGCUCUGUUCUCUAGAAUUAGUCAGAAGCCACCUUCUAGGGAAAAAGAUUUUAACAUAGCUUUCCUCCAAACCUGCUGCUCCUCCAGAUGUGCUGCACUACAGCUCCCAAAAUCCCUGGAACUUUACUGGCUGGGUUAAGGGAAGAUGUAGUCCAAGACAUCUGAAAGGCAACAGAUUGAGGAAGUCUGAGAUUCUCACAAGAACAGAAAUAGUGUAGGAAUGAAGAUUCCACAAAGUCCUUUGAUGCCUUCCUCACUUCAUAUCAGGAGUGGCCUCCAUGUUAACUCGGCACAUUUUUUGAAGGACUUACCUGUCAAGCUAAGAGUCUAGAAACAAAUACCUUUAAUAAACAAACAAACAAACAAACAAUUUACCAUGCCCAUUAGGAACUUGCUUCUGUGUUUUCCCUUUCCUGGGGGUUGACUGGCAUGACGUUGAAGCAUUGUUUGUGGCCGUCUUUGUGUCUUCUGUUUCUUCAUCUUCUUCUUCCUCUUCUUCUUCAUCCUGAGAGCUUCCAAAAUAUACCAUGUUGCUGGGCAGCGCAGGAGAACCUGGUAACAAGCCAAAUACACAGAUGUCGCUGAACUGCAAACAACUCAUAUUAAAACCUGGCAUUUGGACAAUUCUGCGUGAGUGCUCAAGGAGGAUAUGAACAUUGGAGGUUUAGGGGUGCCCCCUGGUUCCCCAUCCCUUCUUCUAUAUUCUUAACAACAGCAUGGCAAACUGAAAGUGCAGCAGAAACUUACGGUGCAAUUUCUGAGCUGAAGCCUCAAAAAGGGAAAAGUGCCUGGCCUCUACUGGAUUAAAGACUGAAAAACCUCCUGAUUAAAAGGAGAAUUAUGUCUUGACCACUCAAGAUCAAGAAUACAGACAACCCCGGUUUGCCAAAAGCAACAUUUCAUUGCUCUUCAGAAUUAACUGGCAGAGUGUCCGCAAUAUUUACUGAAGUACAAAUCUGGACAGAAGUCAAACUUGAAUGUUACAACUGUGGCAGAAAUCAUUCCAGCCCAAGAAAUUUCUGUGUAAUUUGGGUUGUGGGUUGUUGGGUUUUGGUUUGGGGGGGGGGGAAGCUGGAUUCUUCUCUGUUAAUUAUUUGCCAAGCCUCCCUCUUCCCCUUUUCUGCUCUUUUCUUUUUUUCUCACAAUUAAACAUAGCACAGCUGUGUUCUUGAGAAACACUAAAACAAUUCUAGCUGUCACAGUGAUUUAAGGAUGAAGACAGGCCAAGAUAUGUAGGGCUAAAGCCUGACCCAGUAAACAUGUGGCGUGCCAAGUGCUACACUUUUGAAGGAUUAGAGGGUCCAAUCUACUGGCCUCAUAUCUGACAGGAGGCCUCCAUUAAAGACUACAUGUAGGUAAAAAGCCUAGAUAUGUUGCUUUGCCUUCACUUUAGUAUUCAUAAGACCUGACUUUGCAUGCCCGCCUCUAUGCCAACACAAAUGUAAAAUGACAUAUUUAAAGGCUGCUUUCAUACUUGGCAGUAUUAUGCAAAGGGCACACAGUGUAAAUGAGAAUUAGGUCUGUAGCUUUCAAGGGAGCAAGAGUAACUGUACAUACAGUGUAGCUUUCUGAGGAGUAAUGCUGGUGCCUCAAUAAACAGGAGAAGUGCUCAGUUGGGUCGAUUUAAAGGUUUCAUGCAAGACGAGGAACAGAAAGACAGACUGCCCUUCAAAGCGUGUGCCCUCCAUCAUUAGCGGACCAUGAACAGUCUGGUAUUAUGGAUGUGACAUAUAGCCCAAUUUCUUCUCCCCACCUCUCUAAAACAGCUAGUGAAAGCAGUGGAGCAUGGGACAAUUGUUUAUCCCUUCUGGGGGAAAAAUGGGGAGAAAGUUUGAGACUGUUUAUUCUUUGUGGGGUGGGAACAGGAAAUGAGGAGAGUUAACGUUACUCCUACACCUGUAAAAACCUCUUACUCCUUUACUCCUUACUCCUACUUCUGCUCCCCAGCCUUGGUUGCUUUGCAAGGCUGGUGUGUGUGUGUUUGUGUGUCUGUUUUAGCUUCCCCGUCCCUUCCUCAGUGUAAUAUAAUUUUAAAAAACUGUUGUUUGCAUGUACAUCAAAAAAUUGGUGUUUGCAUGUAUAAUAACAGGAAUAAGGAGUAACAAAAUAUAUCCCUAUCCCUACUCCUGUAAAAACAUCUUACUCCUUUACUCCUUAGUCCUAUUCCUACUCCUGAGCCCUGGUUUGACCAAAAGAUAACCCCUCCCCAAAUACCCCAAAACUCUUUUUUCCUUUUUCCACAGAAGUCAGAAAGUGGUGAAAAUAAUAAAAUAAAAUAAAAAAUAACAACAAUUAAAGGCAUAUAUUCUUCAACAAUAGCUCUGUAUAUUUUUAGUUAUUACAUGCAAGCUGGGUUUAGAGUCAUAGCCAUUUUAAUCUGGAAUAUCAGUAUGCAAAGGGACCUUGCAGGACCUUUGAAACUCACAGUGUGAGAGAAGUUUUGUACAGACCUCCUCAGAUGCACCAAGGGAACUGAUGCCCAAAAAGAACUUUUAUAAUCAAUCUGCUACAAGAUUCCUUUGCAUGCAGGUUGGGUGUGCAUGAUGGGAAUUGUUAUCCAUCUUCGAUGACUUCAAAAUAAUUGGAUCAAACUGUUUAUUUUAAAUUUCAGAGUAAAUGUAAAUAUACCAAUAAAGUGUGAGAAAUGCUGAUAAACAGUAUAUUCACAUUAAAAUUGUUGGGAUCAUGCACUGAUCACAAUAUUUGGCCUAGACUCUCAUCUGGACAUUUGAAAAGUGGCUCAAUUCAAUUUGGACUGAAUUGGAGGCACACUGGUUCAACUCAAAUCAUAGACCUUUAAAAAGAUGCAAAAAUCCAAAGCACUGUACCUUCUAUUAUC